rnacentral:lncRNA from 12 species
GGGGGGGGGGGGGGGGGGGGGGGGGGGGGGGGGGGGGGGGGGGGGGGGGGGGUGUUGAAUGUCCUCUGCCAAAGCCCAGUGCUCUGUUAGUGUCAGCUGUGGGAUGUCCCCUGCCAAGAAAGCUGCAGCCAGGCACUGACAUUUCUGAGUGGAAUCUUGCAGUUGGAUGCCAGAGGUCAGCUUCUUAACAACUGUCUGUACAUCAAUCAUCUGACUCCAAAACAGUAGUUUCAAGUUCUGCCGCAGUAAAUUGCCUGGUUUCCCGGAAUUACUCCGGUGCCCCUGCAACAGGGAAAGCCGCACCCACCGGAGAGCCAGGACUGCAUAAAGAGCCGGGGCUGUGCUGGGCUUGUCCCACGGCAGGAGCUGCGGGACACGCACGGACAAGGAUUUUGGGCCUUUCCUUCGUGGUGCUCUUCCUCCUGAGUUCUCGAGUGGUUCCCAUCUUCUCCUCCACACCCUGCCGUGUGCCCCAGGCCUGCCACUGCUGCUGUGCUGUGUCCCCUGAGCUGGGGCCCUCGGCUGCCGGUGUCUGCUGGAAGCCAAGGCUGGGAGAACAGGAGCAUCUGCUGUGAGCCAUGGCCUCGCCAGAGGACACACAAGAGGGGGAUGCAAAGGCCCAGCUCCUGGAAGAGGCAUUUCAGGAGGAAGGACUGGAUGCUGGAUACUGGCUGCCCAAAGUGUCCCAGAUCCUGGGAAUCAAGUGUAGAGAAGCCCUGCAACAUGUGGAAUAUAAAGAUUGCCUCAAGCUG